AGAGUUUGAUCAUGGCUCAGGACGAACGCUGGCGGCGUGCCUAACACAUGCAAGUCGAGCGAAGAACUUCGGUUCUUAGCGGCGGACGGGUGAGUAACACGUGGGUAACCUGCCUCAAAGAGGGGGAUAGCCUCCCGAAAGGGAGAUUAAUACCGCAUAAUAUUAGAUCUUCGCAUGGAGAUUUAAUUAAAGGAGCAAUCCGCUUUGAGAUGGACCCGCGGCGCAUUAGCUAGUUGGUGAGGUAACGGCUCACCAAGGCGACGAUGCGUAGCCGACCUGAGAGGGUGAUCGGCCACAUUGGAACUGAGACACGGUCCAGACUCCUACGGGAGGCAGCAGUGGGGAAUAUUGCACAAUGGGCGAAAGCCUGAUGCAGCAACGCCGCGUGAGUGAUGAAGGCCUUCGGGUUGUAAAACUCUGUCUUUGGGGACGAUAAUGACGGUACCCAAGGAGGAAGCCACGGCUAACUACGUGCCAGCAGCCGCGGUAAUACGUAGGUGGCAAGCGUUGUUCGGAAUUAUUGGGCGUAAAGGGCUUGUAGGCGGACAGGUUAGUCUGGCGUGAAAUCUCCACCGCUCACCGGGGAGGGGCCGCUGGAAACUGCCUGUCUGGAGUUCGGUAGAGGGUCAUGGAAUUCCGCAUGUAGCGGUGGAAUGCGUAGAUAUGCGGAAGAACACCUGUGGCGAAGGCGGUGGCCUGGGCCGAAACUGACGCUGAGGAGCGAAAGCCAGGGGAGCAAACGGGAUUAGAUACCCCGGUAGUCCUGGCCGUAAACGUUGGAUACUAGGUGUGGGAGGUAUCGACCCCUCCUGUGCCGCAGCUAACGCAUUAAGUAUCCCGCCUGGGGAGUACGGCCGCAAGGUGAAACUCAAAGGAAUUGACGGGGGCCCGCACAAGCGGUGGAGCAUGUUGUUCAAUUCGACGCAACGCGGAAGAACCUUACCCAGGCUUGAAACUGCUGAGGCCCGAUCUUGGAAACAGGAUUUCUUCCCGUAAGGGAAGCUUCAGUAGAGGUGCUGCAUGGCUGUCGUCAGCUCGUGUCGUGAGAUGUUGGGUUAAGUCCCGCAACGAGCGCAACCCUUGUCGUUAGUUACCAUCGGGUAAAGCCGGGCACUCUAACGAGACUGCCGGUGACAAACCGGAGGAAGGUGGGGAUGACGUCAAGUCCUCAUGGCCCUUAUAGGUGGGGCUACACACGUCAUACAAUGGCUGGUACAAAGGGUUGCCAACCCGCGAGGGGGAGCCAAUCCCCAUAAAAGCCAGUCGUAGUCCGGAUCGCAGUCUGCAACUCGACUGCGUGAAGUCGGAAUCGCUAGUAAUCGUGGAUCAGCAUGUCACGGUGAAUACGUUCCCGGGUCUUGUACACACCGCCCGUCACACCAUGGGAGCGGGUCUCGCCAGAAGUAGUUAGCCUAACCGCAAGGAGGGCGAUUACCACGGCGGGGUUCGUGACUGGGGUGAAGUCGUAACAAGGUAACCGUUUU
rnacentral:rRNA from 1 species